AAAUUUGAAGUUAAAAAAAAAAAACCUCCACUCUCCACGAGUUGGGCUCCGCCCAAACAGGGCCAACCUACGCGCGAGCGCCCGCGUCAACUCGCGCCCCGUCCGGCCCGCGACUCGCGCUCUCAUUCGCCCCCGCGCCUGUGCCGGCUUGCCCCACGCCCGCGUCCGGGCCGGCCCACGCCCGCGCCCGUCGUAUGCCCACGCCGUCGCCCGAGCCCCGCUCCUCCGUCUCUCGGCNNNNNNNNNNNGCGCCCGCCCCCGCUUGCGCCCCGCGCCUGCGCCCCUCUAUCCCAUGUGGCUCUAGGUGGAGCGAGAGAUUUAGAAAGAGAAGGUUGGAAUAGAGAGAGGUUCGGAUGAGAUGGGAGAGAGAGUGUUGGGUGGAGGAGGGAGGAAGAAAGAGAGAGAGCCACCUGGAGGCGACGGGAAGAGAGAGAGAGACCCGGUUAGGAGAAGGGUAGAGAGGGGGGCAUCUUGAGAGUAGGGGAGAGAGAGAGACCAAGUGGAGGGGUGAAGAGGAGGGGGUGGGUGUGGAGAGAGAGGGGGCAAGUUGGCAGGGAAGGUGAAGAAAGAGAGUCGGUCGGGGGUGAAGGGGGGGAGAAAGAGGGGGCUAGCUGGAGAGGGGUGAAGAGAGAGAGAGAGAGAGAGAUGGUGUGAAGAGAGAGAGGACAGCUGGCAGAGGAUGGGAGGGGAGAGAGGCUCGGGUGGGAGAAGGGGAAAAGAGAGGGCUCGGGUGCGAGAUAGCCUCGCCAUAUAGAAUAAAGCAAAAAUAGGGGUGCCACGUGGGAUCGAAGAAAGUGCCAAAUUAUAUAGUGUUAGAUAUACAAUUUAUGCUACAUUUUUUUGUACAGCAUGACUAUUGAUUUAUGUAGCUUAUAAUUUCUUUUUUUCGGCAUAAACUUUUAAUAUAAAGUCAGUGGCUAUAAAGAUACUGAACAAAUUUAAAAGAACAAUUUUAACAUUUUUGAUUGUAUGGAACAUCUGUAUAAAUACUAAUUUAAUUAAAUAUAUUGGAAAUCUGGUACUCGCUCUGAUACCAGAUUUUGAGAAUUCGCAACCCAUUAUGAUACUGACUGUUGUUGAUUCGGUUCGCUUCGAUACUAAUUGUUGGGAUAUCACAAUAAAAGCGUCAAAUCAGAUUUUUAUCAUAAACCAUCUUUUUGGUAAAAAAGUUAUUGCUGACGUAAUAACAAAAAAGAGAAAGUUAAAUAAAAAAAAUAAAGAAGAAUACAUGUGACUCUUUCUCUUUAUGGAGUAACUUCAAUUCGAAUCCUUUUUCUGAAUCCCUCUCAUCCCUUUUGCGUCUUCUAUAAACUUUGAAGACAACUCUCUUUCGACGCACCCGUGCAGCAUGCAACUAUUGCCAACUCUCUCUACCACUGUCCACCCAAUUCGGCUAUAUAGCACCUCUGGCCGCAUCCGUACUUUCCGCACGAGCCCACUCGACCGUUAUGAUGCUUAUACAAUGUACGCAAUCCUAAUAUAAUUAAAAAUUUUACUCUAAUUAAUAUCUAAAUUCAAAUCAAUUUAUCUCCCAUAAAUUUAAAUAUUUAUCCUAAUUCAACUAGAAAUUAACUACAGAUCUAACCAAAAUUCUAAUAAAAUGUAUUAUACUUAUAUUUCUUAUAAUGUAUACAAAAAUACUCUGUAUCAAUUUCUUUAGUUAUAUUUUCUUUAAUCUACAAUUCUUAAUUUUAGUUAUACAAAAAUACUAAUAGCCAUUUCGAAGGUAUUCCUUUAGUUAUAUUUUCUUUAAUCUUCAAUUCUUAAUUAUAUAUAUAUAUAGAGAGAGAGAGAGAGAGAGAGAGAGUUGAGCUAGAAUACUAUCGAUAGCAAACUGGCUCCGUUGCCACCCAUUUAUUUUCGAUGAUAAAGCCUCCAAAUCGACGAUCUGCACCGUUGAAUAUGAUCUAUACCACUUGAAAUGUUUGGAAAUCAAAUUUCAAAUCUUUUCGACCUCAUUUGCCUAAUGAUCAAAGGGUUUCAAAAUUUGUAAUUUUAAUAGUCGAUAUGAGGCGUUUUCUCGUUUAACGGCGUAAAGAUAUUCAAAUCAAUUGAAUUUUUGUUAGAAAAUUUUUUAAACUAUUUAAAAUAAGAUUUAUACUCUUGAUCUUGAUUACAAGACUCCUAUCAUCAUUUUUUAAAGAAUAUUCAUUUUCAGCCGUUCAUUUUUGUUUCCACUCGAUGGAUAAGAGAAUAAUAUCGAAAAUGUAUGAAAUUUGAUUUCUACACACUUCAAGUGGUAUAGAUCAUAUUCAGCGGUGCCGAUCGUCAAUUUGGAGGCUUCAUCAUCGAAAACAAAUGUGUGUUGUGUUGUGUUGGGUUGAGAAGGAGGGGAAUGCUUCAGGUCGGCGUGCAGGGAUAGAUGGUAUAUUAAGUUGAAAAAAUUUGUAUUAAGGAUUUUUUUUUUUUGGUUUUAGAGGUGGGUGGCUUCGGGCAGUUUUUUUUUUCUCUUUUUUUAUAUUUUUUGUGCAGAAGGGGCGCUUCAGCAGGAGGGCGUCGUGCGCGCGAGGGGGGGGGAGGGUGUGCGCUCGGCAGCAAGGGUGGGGCGUAGAGGGCGUCGUGCACGGGGUAGAUGCAGGGCGCAUGACGCCCGAGAAGGGGGCGCGCUGAUGCUUCAGGCGUGACUCGCAAGAGUGGGUACGCAGCAGUAGAUGAAAAGGGAGAGGGAAGGAGAGAGUGGGAGGAGAGAUGAGAAAAAGGAAAGAAAAAAAAAAAAAAGAAAGGAGGAGAGAAAGAUGCUUUGUACUGGGCUCUGUUAAUUCUAACCCUUUAACAGUGGAACUCAUUAUUGGGUGGACUCUAAAUCUCAACCUUCAUCUAUCAAGAUGGAGGGUGGAGAGAGUUAAGAGCACAGAGGCUGCUGUGAGCAGCCCUACUCUCUCUCUCUCUCUCUCUCUCUCUCUCUCUAAUAAUAUAUAUAUAUAUAUAUAUAUAUAUAGUUAGGCUGGUAUGCUAUUGCUAUCAAGUUGUUUUCAAUGAUGCGGCUUCCAAAUCGACGAUCGGCUCUAUUAGAUUUGAUCUACAUUAUUAAAAGUAUUUGGAAACUAAAUUUUAUAAUUUUUCGACAUCAUUUGGCUAGUAAUUAAAAGGUCUUAAAAUUGACAAUUUUAAUAGUUAACGUAAUGCGUUUGUGAAUUUAACGAUAUAAAACAAUCCAAAUCUGAUAAAAUUUUUAUAAAUUUUUUUUUCACUAUUUAAAAUAAGAUCAGUACCUUUGAUCUUAUUAUAAAAUCUUUUAUCAUUAUUUUUUAUGAGAUUUUUAUUUUCAGCCGUUCAUUUUUAGACUACUUGUUUGAUAGGUAAAUAAAGUUGAAAAAUUAUAAAAUUUAGUUUCCAAAUACUUUUAAUAGUGUAGAUCAAGUCUAACAGAACUGAUCAUCGAUUGGAAAGCUAUAUCAUUGAAAACAACUUGAUAGUAUACCAGCCUAGCUCUCUCUCUAUAUAUAUAUGAAAAUAAUAUUUAUUCACUGUGAAGUGCAUUUACUUUACUAGCUUAUCACAAUAGUACAAAUUGAAAGGAGAGACCAAGGGAGUAAAGGAAAGAAAGAAAAGAAAAGCAGUGGAAGUGGAAAUGCAAACAAAGCAAAUCUGAAAGCUAAAGUCCAGCUCUGCCUCUCGGCCCAAACUUGUGACGGGUCAGAAAAAGGUUAUCCUAUAAUUCGCCUACCUCAUAACCCACCCUGCCGUCACUUUAAAUCCGCCUUGCCGACUAAUAUUUUUUUAUAAGUCAUAAUAUUAUUAACUUUUUAUAAAUAUAAAUUAACAAAUAUUUUAAUAAUAGUGGAUAAUAUUAUCAAAUUAUAUAUAAUUAAAUAUGUUAACUAUAAAAAUCAAAUAUAUAUAUUAAUCAUAAUCCGCAAUAAAAUUCAGAAAUUUUAAAUAUUUGCAUAUUAAAAAAUAAAAGUCUACUAAAAUUAUUACACCAAAUUAAAAAAAAUGAGAACAUUAAUUUAUUUAUAGGGCUAGAGCUAUUAUACUUUUAUUAGUAUUGAGCCUUUUGUACUUAUAAAUUUUUGACCGUUGGAUGAAGGAAUGUGUGAUUAGAAUAAUAGUGGUCCCCUAGGGAUGGUUGGUCUAACAAGCGGAAAUGGUCAAAGGAAUAAAUCUAACGGUCGAAAACUUAUAUAAAGAGAUCUAUACUCAUAAGAUAUAGUACUCGGACUCUUAUUUAUAGUUAAUUUUUUUUAUAUUUAAAAAAUGUAUUUUUUGAAAAAAAUAAAUAAUUUUUGAAACAGAUUCGGGAGCGUGUAAAAAUUUUUUUCCAUGUCCUGCUUCAAAUCCGCCACCUCGGAUCAUAAAACUUAUUCUGUUUUCUAUUCCGAAUGCGCUUUUUUUUUUUUUUUACUUUACUAUCCCGUUCGGAACGAAGAGGGCGGAAGCUCAACCGACGUGAAUCCAUUUGCAUCCCUUGGAAGAGAGAAAAAGAACAUAACUAGCGAGGAGGAAUUCUACACUGUCACACUUGCACCACGUCAUCAAUAACAAGCCAAUUACAUUCCUUCUUUUUAAACAAAAGUAUAAUAAAAAUACUUUUUUACAAUCAUGAUGGGACAUAUAUUCUUAAAAGGAUUAAUUUGAUUGGUUUGUUACGCCACGUCACUAAUAUACCCGUUGCAUUCUAGAAUUUUUCACUAGCGAGGGGUCACACCAUCAUCCACUUUCGUGCAGCAACAGAGAGAGAGAGAAGAGAAGCUGAAGGGGCGGAGAAAGAAAGAAAGAGAAGGAAGAGGAAGAGGAGGAUUGGAGAAGAAGAGAGAGAAGAAGAUGCUUCAAGAAGAGAGACUAGUAAGGUGAGUGAGAUAUAGUUAGAGGAAAUAACAGCUAGGGUUUGCUUAGAAUGUUCGUCAAAUUACUUUUUCGUUCAUAUAUUAGUUUACUUGUUUAUUUAUUUCUAUAUCACAGAGUGUAGAGAGAUUUAUUUGUUGGGGUAUGCGGCGGCUCCUUUGGCUUGGUAGAAUAUUUUUGGCUUUUGUCUGUUAGUCAUCCGACAUGUUGAACUCAACAACCUAUUUAUAAAUAAAGAUUAGUUUGAUCUUAAAUCAAUACUCGCAAUUGGACUCUCCAUGGCUGCUGCUUCUUCUUCUUCCUCUUCGUCUGCGUUGGUGACGGAGGCAGUGAGCGGAUCCCACCGGUUCAAGAUCUCCGGCUACUCCCUAAUGAAGGGGAUCGGCCCCGGAAAGAUCUACGACUCCGCCGCCUUCACCGUCGGCGGAUUCGACUGGGCCAUCCGAUACUAUCCUGGUGGCCAAUCACAAGAUGAUGCAGAUUACAUUUCUCUAUUUGUCGUACUUGCAUGUGAAGCCAUGGAUGUAAAAGCGCAAUACAAGAUCACACUGUUGGACCACUGGAAGAGGCCAUCGUCGACGACUCCGACAGAUUGUGAACAGCGAAGCUUCUCGUCCCGCGGAAAGGGCUGGGGUUUCAAUCGAUUUAUGAGAAGAGCCGAUCUAGAGGCGUCCCAAUAUCUUAAAGACGAUUGUUUCAUAGUUAAAGGCACUUUGAGCGUUAUAAAAGAGCCGCGACUGGAAGUCCCCAUGGAGAGGGAACCGACGUCGCGUUUGAAGUCGCGGGAGAGACUUUCACGGCGCAUCGGUGGCUUCUCGCCGCGCGGUCGCCGGUUUUCAAAGCGGAGCUUCUCGGCCCGAUGAAGGAGAAAAGUAUGCAGCGCAUAAAGAUCGAAGACGUGGAAGCGCUGGUGUUCAAGGCGUUGCUCCAUUUCAUCUAUUCAGACUCGGUGCCUGAUUUGAUCGAGGAGCUCGCGAAGGAGUCUCCAGCUCUAAUGGCUCAGCAUCUGCUCGCUGCUGCAGAUCGGUACGGGUUAGAGAGGCUGAGGCUAAUCUGCGAAGACAAGUUAUGCGAGCAAGUCGACGUCAGCACGGUGGCUACCACCUUGGCUCUGGCAGAACAGCACCGCUGUGACCGACUCAAGGCUGCUUGCCUCGAGUUUGUUGCCUCCCCUGAGGUGCUUAUUGCUGUCAUGCUUACUGAUGGAUUCGAGCACCUGAAGAAAAGUUGCCCGCUGGUAGUGAAUGAUCUCAUGGAGAAGUUUGGUUGCCUCUUUUAUUCCAUUCGGAAGGAGCAAUCGGAGAACGAAAAUUGAGAGGUGAUGAUAUUGAAUAUCAUGUCACUUCCGACUCUAAAUGUUGCAGUGCAUCUGGUUGCAUAUUUCCAAUCUUUACUGAAGGUAUUGCUCAAUUAUGAAAUCAGCAUGUUUCCGACUCUAAAUUAUGAAUUAACUAACUCGAUCCUUUGUUUUGAUGAUACAUAACGGUUGAAUUGUUGUUCACGCAUGCCUCACAUUAACCAAAUCGCCUUAUUUGAUGUUCUUUCAUAGUGUUGUCGCUUUCGCCAAGUUAUUGUUGGAGAUGAAAACAGUUGGAUCUCACUAGAGCUAUGGUGCAUUUUGAAACAUUAUAAUUUUUUUUGUUUUAUGAUCUGACCUCACAGAGUGUUUGGUUUAACUAUUAGUACUGCAAACCUAAGUACAUUUUUUAGAUGGAGUACUUUUUAAUCUAACAAAAACUUUUGUUAUAUCUAUUUAAUGGAAACUGGAAAGUCCAAACAGAGCUCGAUGAAACCUUCUGAAACCAAAAGACCAGGAAGUUCGAGGUAGUAAAAACAAAAUUUUGAAAGUUGAGGUACCCGUAUCAAAAUGAGCAAUAUUUUGGUAAGGCCUAUAUUCUCUCAUCUUUCUGAAUUAUGGUGUAUUGCCUUAUGCUGAACUUACGAACUAUGAGCAUAAUCUCUUUACAAGAAGCAUCCUCUGACUCUUUACUUGUUAUCUAUAGACUAUUAUUUUUCCAUUCUUCUAUUAUCGGUUGGAUGAAUUAUGACUGAUACCGUUUGCUUUAACCUUCUUUGUUGCAUAUGUAAACUGAUUGAUAAAACAUCUUUAAGCAUGCUAAUCAUAGGCCAACUAAAUUAACUGUGCGCCGAAAUGGGCACAGAUCAAAGGUCUAGAUUGACAAACUGUUUUUGACUGUAUCAGUAUCUGCCAAGUGCUACAAUUAGAAUGCUUUGAGCCAAAGCUUGAAGUGAAAUGUUGUUUGUCAAAUCCAAACUAUGUUUGGAAUAGAAAUGGAAAAAAAAAUAAUGGAUUGUAUUGAAAUGAAUAAUAAAUUGACGAAUCAUCUUGAAAUAUUUGGUUCAUUAUUGGAAUGAAAAUCAGAAUGAACACCUAGAAUUUUGAAGAUUUUGAUUAAAAAAGAGGAGCGGUGAAAGGAGAGGGAAGGAGGGGAAGUGCUUGUGAGAGAGAAUUUUGCAUGACUUACUCUGAAAUUGGCUAAUUCAUGAUUCAAAGUCUGAUUGGACCAUAAAUAGAUUGGAUUACUCUAAAUCAAUGAAUCUCAUUUCGAUUGCUAACUCUGAAAUAGAUGAACCCAGGGACAAAACCAGGUUCAAGCUUAGGAGGGGCCAAAAAUAGUUGUGAAUUUUGAACAAUCAAAUAUAAAAUUUGGCUAGCUUUAAACCAAGGUUCAAAGUGCCGCCCCGUGCCGUACGGCACGGGGCGUGCUGUACCGUGCCCCCAAGAAGGGGGCACGGUGGUGCCGCGGCACAUGGCACGUGCCGCUCGAGACAAAGCGGCACGCGGCCAUGUGUCGCGGCACUGUGCUGCGUGCCGCUGCAUCCUCUUUUUGUUUUUCUUUUUUUUUGGCUUUUUUUUUUGUUUUGUUCUUUGGGGUAUCGAGCCCCCCUCUUGGGCCACCUAUAUUGUUUUCUUUUUUUUUUUUCACUUUAUUGUCUUUUUUUCAACUCUUUUUUUGUUUUUUGGCGGAUACCUUUUUUUCCACCAUAGACAUCCAUUUUUUCUUCGCAAAAAUUUUGUCAAAAAUUAUCGCACCACGAAGCUUCGGUGAAUCAAGGGAACAAAAAUUGAUCUACUUCUGAAGUUUAUUAUUGUAUUUUAAUUUCUAUUCUACAUUAUGUAUAAUUGUAUUUUAUUUAUAAAAAGCUUACAUGCAUAUUAAUUGAUAAGUAUAGUAAGGUAUAUAUAAUAAAUAUUCAUAAUUAUUUAUUUAAAUCUUUCAAAAUAAUAUUAUAAGAGUUUAUUAGAACAAAAAAAAACUGAAAUAAGUCCGUGCCAAAGCGUGCCGGUAGGAAGUCACGCGUAUCUAUCGGCAUGCAAGCGUGUCACGUGUCGGCACGCAAGCGUGCCUGUGCCGUACCGUGCCAGGGACAUAACGGCACGCCCCCGUGUCACGGCACUUUAAAUCUUGCUUUAAACUAAGGCAAAAACUAUAAACUGUAAAAACAAUGCAAAUUAAAUCUAGUAUUUCAUGCAUCUUGAUCAACAAUAAAAAGAGAAAUAAGAUAAAAGUGGCUUACCACUAGACUAGUGAUUUGUAAUUUGGGUUUCAUACAAAAGAGUAAUAACUAAUGAAUUGAAUCGAGUUUCUACAUUUAUCUGGUAGCGGCAAGAGCUGCUUAUUCUUGUAAAAUUACCCUUUACUCUUCUCGUCCUUUACAUGGAGCGAAGCUCUCUUGUACGAAAUUUUUCUCUAACAAUUUUUCUCUCUGAUCCUAGUUCUCAGCUUAACUUCAUGUUCAAAAAAUUCUCUUCAAUGUUAAAUGCGAAGCUUGCAAAAUUGCAAUAAAAGCUGUAUUACCAAACCAAUCAAAUAGACUGCUCCAGUACAUUAGCCAGAUUCAUUCUCACCAUUCUCUUCGAGCACGAGCUUCGCUCGGACUUAAUCAAAUUGCUCUUACUAUUUAAAAGCAGGUACUUCAGUUGCAGAAGUAGACCUACAGCUAAUUUUCUGUAAGCUAAUUUCAGUGUAAAUUUAUUGAUGUGGUUAAAAUGUGAUAUUAGUUGGCAAAUUAAAUGCAAGUAACAGAGUUCACACAAUCGAUAUGACAGAAAAUUCAUUAGCUUAACACUAGAGAAGAAAUAAUAAUCAAGCAAAUAGCAAGGAAAGUUUAUUAUUCAUAUAAGUAUAAUUUCAAAUACAGGCAUAAUCUUAGAACUACGUACACAAUAGAUCAAACUCAAAAGAGUAAUCUGUGAAAGUAAGGACAAUUAACACGGGGAUUGAUAUUUUCAGAACUAAAUUUGUAGUCAUGAUUUAGACUUUUUUGCUCCGACAAUAUCAAAAUUAGCCCUGAAAAUUGAUGUCAAUUUCCAAUAAUUAACACUGAAAGACAAAAAAAUGCAAUGCUGCUAUAUGCAACUGCAAUCAGUGUGCAAAAUAAUUAGUUUAGCAAGACAGCAACUACAGUGAGAUAGAACUAAGAAUAGCAUGUUUAUUUGUAACACAAUAUUUAAAAGACAAUAUAUGAUAUCUCUAGAUUGCGGUAAUAGGUGUUCAUAAGUUCAAGAACGCGAUUAGCCAUCUAUUUAUUUAAUUGAUUACAAAAAUAGCAUCCAAUUCCAAACAAAAAGUGAUCGACAUGCGCACAAUCUCAUGUUAUCUCCUGAUCAUUCUAUCCUCUCCACGAGUUCCUUGAGAAGUAGGGGGCAACUGAUUGUGAGGUACUCGAAUCCCUCGGUUUUCAUCACAGAAAUCACCGUGUCGGGGGAAUUGAUGAAGUCAAAGCAAGCGUCUUUAAGCUCGCGGCAGCGGUGCUGCUCGGCCAAAGCCAAGGUGGUCGCAACCGUGCUCACGUCGAUGUCUUUACACAGCUCGCCCUCGCAGAUCGACUUCAGCCUUUCCAGCCCGUAACGGUCUGCGGCCGCGAGCAAAUGCUGAAGCAUCGAAGUUGGAGAUUCCGUCGUAAGCUCUUCGAGUUGAUGCAGCGAAUCCCGGUACAUGAAAUGAAGCAUAGCCUUGAACACCGCGGCGUCCAUGUCUUCGAUCUUUAUGCACUGCAUGGUCUUUUCCUUCAUUGGGCCGAAGAGUUCCGCUCUGAAGACCGGCGACCGUGCAGCGAGGACACAUCUAUGGGCGGCAAAGGUCUCCCCGCCGACAUCAAAAGCCACGUCGGCGCCCUCUCCGCUCUCCAGCAGUUCGCCGAGAUGCUGAUGCAAGUCAGAGGGAGGAGGUUUAGGCACCUGAAGGCUGGCAACGGAGCGAGUCUUGGAUACCCGCAAAUGCGGCGAUUUCAGGACGGUGACAGUGCAUCGAACUGUGAGGCGAUCGUCUUCGUCGACGAACUUCCUCUCAAAGUCGGCUCUGCUCAUUAUCCGCUCCCAGCCCAAUGAAGACUUGCUGUCCUUGAGAGUGACUGGCACUUCAACGGAGUGUGUCGAGAGAGUGCUGCCGUUCUUGUCCAGUAUGUCGAACUUGAAGGCCACCUUGGCGUCGCCGCUCGUGUCGCUGAGAUGAGUGAGGUAAAUGGAUACGUUGCCAGUGCCGACGUCGCUUUCGUAGCUGCGUCCGUAGCUGCCGUCCGGGUAGAUGCGAGUGAUGUGUGCGCGUCCGUCUGGAUAGUAUCUGAUGGCCCAGUCGUGUCCGCCGACGGAGAAGACGCCGGACUGGACGUGAUUGCCUGCGCCGAAGCCCUUCGUCACCGAGUGCUUGUUGACUGUGAAUUUGUGCGAUCCGGUCGCAGUCUCGAUCCGCCAAGUCGAGGAGGAGAAAGAAUCGAUAGUUGAGAAGGCCAUGGCGACUGGAGAGGGUGUCUGCCCGGCGUUCCCGACUGCUUUAAUUUAUUUUUAGGGUUUACGAUCCAAUUGACCUAUUUAAACUUUUAAAAAUAGAAAGAGCGGUGCUAGAUAAAAAUGUACAAAGACCCCCUUAUACUUUGGAAACUUCUGUUGGUACAUUUUAGGAGGGCUGUAUGUCAGGGACUUAGUGAUUUUUUUUGUCCGGCCAAGUCCCUGGUCCAAUUUCGCUAAGUGGCAGUCAAAGAGACACCAAACCAAUAAUCUAUAACUCUAUAUGAAUUCCCAAUAAAAUUGAUGACAUGGCAAGCCCUCCUUUUUUUAAAUUUUUUAUAUUUUUUAUAUUUUUUAAUGGUGGUUCAUUCUUCUUUAUUCUUACAUUUAAUGUUCUUAAUAGUUAUAACUCAAUUAAUACUCACCUCCUAAUUACUCUUUAAUUUUAUUUAUAUCUCCUUUAAAUUUUUAAUUAUAAAGAAAAAAAACUGUCUAAUUAUUGCCCAAGAAUAAUUGNUUUAUAUCUCCUUUAAAUUUUUAAUUAUAAAGAAAAAAAACUGUCUAAUUAUUGCCCAAGAAUAAUUGUUUCAGUUUUAUAUGUUUAUAUUUUUACUAUCUUAUUAUAUUUAAUUUAAUGUUGCUAAUGAUAGCUAUAUUUACAUGCAUAUGUUUUUCUUUCCUAAUUAAUUAAAUAAAUACUAUACUUUAGAUAACAAAUUAAUAUGUGGUAGUAAAUACAGCUUCUCUAAAUCCUAAAUUCUAAAAUCCCAACCUUUCCUCUCCCUCCGCACCCUCCCUCGCCACCGCCCCUCCGAUCGGUGGCGCCUCCUCUCCGCCGGCCCCGCCGCCGUCCACACGGCGGUGGCCAUCUAGAAGGAGACCUCGGAGGAGGAGCGGCUGGAGACCUUCCUCCGCAUGGUGGACCUCGCUACUGCCACGUCCGUGCGCACACGAUUCGAGCGGAUGAUCCGCGAGGCCCUUGACGAGAUAUGCGCGGCGCUCAAGGCCGUGGACGGGGGCGCCGCAUUCAAGGAGGAUGUGUGAUCGCGCCCAUUUGCAACAAUUUCGAACUCUUAUACGACCCCCACUCCUACCCUCGAUCACUCCUUUCUCGAAAAAAAAUAAGAACUCUAUAAGUUUUUAAUUUUUAUCCGCCGUAUCGCGUGAAUUCCUACACUAUAUAUAUUAUUACUAAACUGAAAAUAUAACUAAAAUAUCUCUAUUUCCGAUAUAGGGACAACUCAUUCUUUUUUAUACUAUUCAUAAAAAUUUAGGCAUUGAGUGGAGUUUAAUAUCUAAAUUUUUUUCGACAGCUUUAUUUAUUUAUUUAUUUAUACAGAAUCUACCCGCUGCAACGCGCGGGUGCCUUCACUAGUCUUUCAUGGAAAAACAAUCUUUCAUAGAAGAUGAAAGAUUAUACAACUGCUGCAAUUAAUGCCUUCAUAACUGCCAGCGGAAAUCUUAGGGACAUAGGUAAAUCUUAGUAUCACCUUACAUUCAUGAGGGAUUUUUACCGGUUAGUUAAUGUAUAUUUAUUGAGUGAGUUAUUGUAGGCUAGAUUCAAUAUAUUUUGUACCUAUUUAUUAUAAAUAGAGGAUUGACUAAGGCCAAGGAGGAGAGAAGAAGAGUUGUGUAUUGUAGUCCUAUUUUUCUAAGUGGUGAAAUAUUUAGUUUAUUUAGAAACCGCUGCCUCUCUCUUUUCUCCUUUUUACAUACUUAGGCUUCGUUUGGGAUUGCGGAGAUAUUGCAUUACAUACAGUGAGAAAGUGCAAUAAAAAAAAUACCAUGUUUGUUUACGUAUGUAAUAUGGCGUUCUGCAUAUCACGAUGAGUCGGUUACGAUAUAUUUUCUGCGAAUCUACUAAAGAACGCAGAAAUAUAUUCCUAUAUGCUUUUACUCUACUCUAUUUUAUCUAAUAGCGUAAGAUGACCCUCAGUACCAAACUAAGCCUUAGUCGUAGGGCGCAAAGAUUCAGGCUAGCAAUAGGGAGUUAGACUUUUCCAUCUUCAAGCAAGAAGGCGGGUGCCGUACAGGCUUUCUAAGAAAAAAAAUGCUAAAACCGUAAUUUGUAGAUCUUAUGCCCUCAUUAAAAUCCAAUAAAUUGUUAGUAUUUGAAAAAAAGAAAUUGACAAGAUAAGGAGCUAUUCUUAGCUCUUGAAUGGGAUUGUAAAAUAUGCACCCUUUUUUAGAGUAUACAAAUUGGAGAGCUUUUGAACUUGAACAAUGUUACUUGUAUAUUUUAAAGUGGAGUGUACAUCUUACAAACAAUUCAUUCAAUGGCCAUUAAUUCUUUACUCGUCACAUCAAAUUUUUUUAAUUUUUACUAAAAUUUAUUUAGAUUUUUAUGAAUUUUAGGACGAGGGUAUAAAAUCUAUACCCGUUUUACGAUGUAUAAGUGUCACGCCCCGGAUUACACGUUCUCCGGGCACGCCGAUAAAUCCGCCGUAUACAAAGAAAAUUUUCCUGUAUACGAAGCGAUAGCUAUACCUGUAAAUCAUACAAUACUACAAACAGUAGUAUAGAGCUGCUAGAAGAACCAGAAAUAAAAUAAACCGAGUUCCAUAUACAUACGUCAAAAUCCAAGAUAGAAAAAUUACUCGCACUGGCGAGUUAAACAGCAGUAUCUACAUGAACUCCAGCAAAAAAAUCACUACCUGCUGUAGGGACACCUCUAGUUCGGCUCGUCGGGUAGGGCUCUAACUCGCGACGCCCUUGCCUCGAUCCUGGUCGGCAACAGCAGCAGCCGGAGACGAUGGCUCUGCAAAAAAUAAUAAAUGCCGGAAUAAAAUCUACAACUACCAUUUAUUACACUAUCAUGCUCUAAGCUACCUAAUGUAGAAAUGUCAAUUCUGACCCAAUCUCUUUAGGGACUGUAAACAUACCCGUCCCAGGGACUAUGAACACACCUGUCCCGCCCAGUUGAGACUAUCCAGCUACUUCCACACUAACCAGUCCGUGGAGAGCAAGUCUAACCGGCAUGCACGACAUCAAUGCAAAAGCACAGCGCCCGUCUCCGGAGUAGCACUCGGGGGAGCUACCCAACCGAGUAUGCAGCGUAUCUCUGUCGAGCUCAAUCAGGCUCUCUCAAGCCAAAGUCCAAGUAACCAACACUAACUGGUCAAACAACUCAUAGUCACGUGCCCUCGGCACAAUCCGACACCAAAAAGGCAAUAGGGGUCCACCGUCAACCCCGACGGCACCCAAUAGUCCGAAACAGUCUGAACGCUACUGUAAACAUACACUCGGCAUCCCAGCACGAUUGUAACAAACGCGCGCUCGAACGGCUCCACGGCGCGACGUCGACGACAGAACAACUCCACCGGAGCUCCUCUACCAUGCUCGGUCACGCACAAGGAGAGGAGAGAGAGAGUGCUGAAGUCCUCUCCUCUCUGCUCUCUAUCUAUCCUAUAUAGGAGGGAGAAGGAGUGGGUGAAAACAACGAGGAAGGGAAAGACCAAAAAGCCCCUCACCUAACCUGGCGUACCAGUACACGGGCUCGCGUACCGGUACAAGAAGCCAACCCGAGAGCAGUCUGCGCGCAGCCUGUGCAGUGUACCGGUACACCGUGAUGGCUGUACCGGUACAACAAGCAGAACAACAGCUAUUUGCAUAUUUUUCUUGCUAAAUACUGCUCUCGCGUCGCACAGAGUCCGUUUUGCGUCUAUUUCGCGCCAACGCGACUCAGACUUGUCCCGACACUCUCCAGAGCUGUCGACAAGCUUUCACUGCUGAACAUCAGGGAUCUCACAUCCUCCCCUACUACAAAAAGUUUCGUCCUCGAAACUUAAACAUACCUCAGCUCAGGGCAUCGAAUAGGUAGGGAUAGGACUCCCUCAUCACCGUCUUAGGCUCCCAAGUCGCCUCCCGCUCCUCGUGAUCGCUCCACUGCACUUUCACAUACGGGAUGACCCGGUUGCGCAAUUCUUUCGUCUCCCGAGCAAGAAUUCGGAACGGUCGCUUCUCGUAUCUCAGAUCCUCGCCAAUCUCGAGUGGAGUGAAGUCAAUCACGUGAGAAGGAUCGAAAACACAUCUCCUCAAUGCCAAGACGUGGAAGACAUCGUGAAUGCCAGCUAGUUGCGGGGGUAGAGCGAUCCUGUAUGCAACUGGUCUCACUCGCUCCAAUACCUCAAAAGGGCCAACGAAACGUGAACUGAGCUUUCCACGUACUCCAAAUCGGCGAAUCCCUCUGAACGGCGAGACUUUGAGGAAUACAUGAUCUCCAACCUGAAACUCUAAGUCCCGUAUCCUGGUAUCGGCGUAGCUCUUCUGGCGGCUCUGGGCUGUCAAAAGGUGUCGUCGAACAACUCUCACCUUUUCCUGAGCCUUUAGCAAAAUCUCAGACCCAAGCAUCUUCCUUUCACCCACAACACUCCAACACAAAGGGGAUCGACAUCUGCGUCCAUACAACGCCUCAAACGGAGCCAUCUGAAUGCUCGCUUGAUAGCUAUUGUUGUACGCAAACUCAGCUAGUCUUAAAUGUCGAUACCACCCUCCUCCAAAGUCCAGGACGCACGCUCUCAGCAUGUCCACUAGAGUCUGAAUGGUCCACUCUGACUAACCAUCAGUCUGUAGGUGAAACGCCGUGCUGAACUGCAGCUGUGUACCCAAGACUGUCUGCAAACUCCUCCAGAAGUGUAAUACAAACCUCGAAUCUCUAUCAGAUACGAUCGAAAUCGGCAUGCCAUGCAGCCUAACAAUCUCAUCCAGAUAUAGCUGCACGAGUCUCUCUCUGGACCAGGUAGUCUGAACCGGUAAGAAGUGAGCAGACUUGGUCAGUCUGUCCACUAUCACCCAAAUCGCAUCGUAGCCCCCCUGCGCUCUAGGCAAUCCCACGAAGAAGUCCAUAGUGAUCUGCUCCCAUUUCCACUCGGGCACUGGCAGACUCUAAAACUUGCCAGCAGGUACCUGAUGCUCGGCCUUUACCUGUUGAUAAGUCAGACACUGAGCCACAAAUCUGCCAAUGUCCCUCUUUAUUCCAUCCCACCAAAAUUGGGUCUUCAAGUCCUUAUACAUCUUGGUUCCACCUGGGUGAACCGUAUAAGAAGAACAGUGAGCCUCUCUCAAAAUGUCCUCUCGGAUCCCUGAAUCCGCAGGUACACACAGUCGGUCCCUGUACCGCAGUACUCCCGAACAGUCACAGAAAAGCCCUCAGCCUGUCCCCAGUCUAGAUGCUCUCGAAUCCUCAACAAGUACAGAUCUCCACUCUAUUUCUCUCGGAUCCUAUCCAACAGAGUGGGCUGCAAGACUAGAGACAUUAGUCUCGCAAUAGACCCAGGGGACACUAUCUCGAGUCUCAACCGCUGUAGCUCCUCGAGUAACGGCCUCUACUGUGUGAUCAUCAAACUCAGGCUCUGCACUACCUUCCGGCUCAACGCAUCUGCCACCACGUUCGCCUUGCCGGGAUGAUACUGAAUACUAAUGUCAUAGUCCUUCAGUAACUCCAACCACCGGCGCUGCCUCAGAUUCAACUCCUUUUGGGUGAACAGAUACUUGAGACUCUUAUGAUCAGUAAAAACCUCGCAGUGCUCGCCGUACAAGUAAUGCCGCCACAACUUUAACGCAAAGACUACCGCGGCAAGCUCUAAGUUAUGCGUAGGGUAAUUCUUCUCAUAAUCCUUUAACUGUCGUGAAGCAUAAGCAAUUACCUUACUAUGCUGCAUCAGCACACAACCCAGUCCACUGUGCGAUGCAUCACUGUAGAUCACAAAUCCUUCUUCCAUCACAGGAAGGGCAAGGAUAGGAGCUGAUGUCAACCUCUAUCUCAACUCAUCAAAGCUCCUCUGACAAUCCUCACUCCAGAUGAAUCUAAUCCCCUUGCGCGUCAAUCGAGUGAGGGGUGUGGAAAGCUUCGCAAAGCCUUCCACAAACCGACGGUAAUAUCCUGCUAGUCCAAGGAAGCUCCUCACCUUUGUCACCGUCGUCGGUCUGGGCCAAUCCCGAAUCGCAUCAAUCUUCUUCGGGUCAACUGCUACUCCCUCUGCUGAUAUCACGUGAGCCAAGAAAGUGACCUCCCGUAACCAGAACUCGUACUGCUUUAACUUAGCAUACAACUUCUUCUCUCUCAGAAGCUGUAGCACAGUCCUCAAGUGCUCCUCAUGCUCGACAUCGCUCCGGGAGUAUAUCAAGAUAUCAUCUAUGAAGACUACCACAAAUCUAUCCAAGAACGGCUUGAACACUCUGUUCAUCAAAUCCAUGAAUGCGGCAGGGGCAUUCGUCAAUCCAAAAGGCAUCACCGUAAACUCAUAAUGCCCGUACCGAGUCCGAAAAGCCGUCUUGGGAACAUCCUCGGCCCUCACCCUCAGUUGGUGGUAACCUGACUGGAAAUCAAUCUUCGAGAAAACACAAAAUCCUUGCAACUGAUCAAACAGGUCAUCAAUGCGCGGCAAAGGAUACUUGUUCUUGAUGGUCACUUUAUUCAUCUCCCGGUAAUCUACGCACAACCUGAGCGACCCAUCCUUUUUUUUUACAAAUAAUACCGGCGCUCCCCAAGGCGAUACACUGGGUCUCACAUAUCCCUUAUCCAUCAGAUCCUGAAGCUGCGCCUUUAGCUCUCUCAGCUCCGCCGGUGCCAUCCAAUAAGAUACCUUUGAGAUUGGUGCAGUUCUAGAAAUUACAUCAAUCACAAACUCAAUCUCCCUCUCCGGCGGCAUCGUCGUCAACUCAGGGAAAAACACAUCUGGAAACUCGCGGACUACAGGAAUAUCCUCGAAUCCCGGCGCCGCCGUACGUACCUCAACAACAGUCGCCAGAAAGGCAACACAUUCUCUACUCUUCAGCUGUCGAGCCCUCACUGAAGAUAUCCAAGUGGCAAACAGUGGACUCCUGCAGCCUCUAAAAGUAAACUCCUCCUGGCCUGGCUAGCGAAACGUCACUGCCCUCGCUCCACAAUCGAUGGUAGCAUAGUACCGCGCCAACCAAUCCAUACCGAGCACGACGUCGAAGUCCUGCAGCUGCCCUAACACCAACAGGUCUGCGGGCAUGAUCCAGGAGUCUAACUGCACCGGACACGACCAACAACACUCUGCAACCUGUAAAAUAUGGUCCAGGAUUUGCACCUCUCGUGCCUGUGAUAAUACUCCUAACUCUAGACCAUGCAACAAUGCAAAUGCUCGGCUAACAAAAGAAUGCGAGGCACCGAUAUCAAAAAGAGUACGAGCUCUAAUACCAGAAAUUAAAGUGAUACCUGCCACCACUCGAUCGGCUGCUAAAGAGUCCUCCACCUGGGCUGCAUAGAACCUGCCGCUUAGAGCCUGCUGUCGCUGCUCGCCCUGACGCGGCAUAGACGAUCUGUCCUCCUGGCGGAAACUCGGAGCUGCUCCAAAAGAAGGCUGAGAUGCCGGCUGCGCUGAUGCAGUGGAUGGUGCUGGUGAUGCUGCACAGGGACAAGCUAACCUCAUAUGUCCGGGCUGACCGUAACCAUAACACCUGCCCUCUCUCUGCUCACACUGCCGGGGCCAGUGUGGUCCCCCGCACAUCACACACUACGGUGUCCUUUGAGUCUGUCCCUGCUGACGGGAUCCCCUGGAACGCUGACGCCUCGAAGGCCCACGACUCUAAGAGCGUGAUCGUGGAGGCCUCGGCGGAUGCCUGCUGCUCGACUGUCCAGCAUCAUCUGAAAAGGGGCGCUUCCUGUCCUGACUCUGCCCCACGGCCUGAGUCCUCUCCUGCAGUGAUACCUCACCUCUCUCUACCCACAAGGCCUGCCUAUGGACGCAUCCAAAGUCCUCGACCUCUGCGUCCGUGCCAACCUGAAAAUGUCGGGUCGCAGCCCUUGCUCAAACAAAUAGACCCUGUGUGCCUCGUCCCUGGCCACAAAUGGCACACAGUUCAGGAGUCGAGUAAACUCCCGAAUGUACUCCUGCACUGGACGAUCCCCCUGCUGAAUCCUCUUCAAAUCCUCCUCGAGCUUCUGUUUCACACUGUUGGGAAAGAACAUCCCAAACAGCAUUCCACAGAACUCAUCCCAUCUCAACUGCAACGCCACCAGUCCCUGCUCUCUUCUCACUCUCCUUCACCAGGCGUGGGCAUCACCUGCGAAGCAAUGGACUCCCAAAGACACUCGUUCCCCCUCAGGAAUGAACAGAUCCUCAAAUAACUUCUCCAUCGCACUGACCCAUCCUUCAACAACCCAGGCCUCAGUGCAACUGCUAUCGAAAAUCGGUGGAUCAAAACGGCGGAAACGAGGCAACCUCUCCGUCCACCGCUCCUGCUCGGCCUCUGUCAAUUGUACUGGCCCCCUAGCAGGCGCAACUAGUGCUACUAGAACUACUGCUGGCGGAGGGACUGCUGCAGCUAGUGCUGUCACUGGGGUAGCCGGAAGUGGAACAGACGACUCUGGUGCCCUCGGUGCUGAACUCUGGGGCGAAGCUAGCCUCUCGCACAUCCUCUCCAACAACUCCCCCUGCCGUCUCGUCACCUCUGUCAGGGCGGCUAACUGUGCACUCAAGUCCGGGGAUGUACUCGUCUCCGAUCGAAUACUCUGCUCCCGCUGGGCACUCGGCUCCGCAUGCUCAGGCAUCUCGGAAGGUCCCGCACGAUCCUGCGACAAUUGGGCACGCUCCCGUAACGACGAUCGACCUCGGCGACGAUACAUAGCUGAAAGGAACAGAUCGGGGUCAGAUGAAAUAUAAACACUCUCGACCCAAUCAACGAAAGUCUGGAAGGCGGUCCCUGUUUUCCUCCAAAAUUAUGUUGUCUGCAGCCAACAUAAUUUCUCAGACCAAAACAGGCACUCCUUCAAUCACUCGCCCCACUCUAGGAGGAGUUAGAAUAAUUAAUCAUUGACUUUCGCAAUAAAUUACGCCUCUCGCGUCUUGCCUUCCUAAGGUUUGCAAAACUUAGGUUUUCUAGGUCCCAACGACCUAAUGCUAAGCUCUGAUACCAACUUAAUCUGUCACGUCCCGGAUUACACGUUUCCCGGGCACGUCGACAGCCGUAUACAAAGGAACUUCCCUGUAUACGAAGCGAUAGCUGUACCUGUAAAUCAUUCAAUACUACAAACAGUAGUAUAGAGCUGCUAGAAGAACCAGAAAUAAAACAAACCGAGUUCCAUAUACAUACGUCAAAAUCCAAGAUACAAAAAUUACUCACACUGGCGAGUUAAACAGCAGUAUGUACAUGAACUCCAGCAAAAAAAUCACUACCUGCUGUAGGGACACCUCUAGCUCGGCUCGUCGGGUAGGGCUCUAACUCGCGACGCCCUUACCUCGAUCCUGGUCGGCAACAGCAGCAGCCGGAGACGAUGGCUCUGCAAAAAUAGGGUAACAACAGGGCGUGAGAACUACUGUAAAACAAGUAGUCCUCAGUGGGUGCUGCCCUCAACAUCAUCGGUCCGCCCACUAAAUCUACAGAAGGGAGCAAAGGUAAUAAUAAAUGCCGGAAUAAAAUCUACAGCUACCAUUUAUUACACAAUCAUGCUUUAAGCUACCUACUGUAGAAAUGUCAAUUCUGACCCAAUCUCUUUAGGAACUGUAAACAUACCCGUCCCAGGGACUGCGAACACACCCGUCCCCCCCAGUUGAGACCUCCACACUAACCAGUCCGUGGAGAGUAAGUCUAACCGGCAUGCACGACACCAACGCAAAAGCACAGCGCCCGCCUCCGGAGUGGCACUCGGGGGAGCUACCCAACCGAGUAUGCAGCGUAUCUUUAUCGAGCUCAAUCAGGGUCUCUCAAGCCAAAGUCCAUGUAACGAACACUAACUGGUCAAACAACUCACAGUCACGUGCCAUCGGCACAAUCCGGCGCCAAAAAGGCGAUAGGGGUCCACAGUCAACCCCGACGGCACCCAACAGUCCGGAACAGUCUGAACGCUACUGUAAAAAUAGACUUGGCAUCCCAGCACGAAUGUAAUAGAAAACUAAAUUAUCUGGGGUAUCUGUCGCCUCGAUACUGCGACGAUACAAAAUUACAACGGCUCCUAGAGCUAAAUUAGGUAGUUUAGACAGGUGACAGGUCCAAAACGCUGGUUUUCUCCUAAGUCAAAUUCCAAGUCUAACAUGUAUAUUUAUGGUUGCCAAUCAUGUCCUCAAUGCUGAUUUCAUCCAUGAUACAAUCAACAAAAAUGAACUACAACAUGAUUUACAAAACUGAAAAUCAUACAUGUCGACUAAUACUGUGCUUAGGAAUAAACCGAUGUAACCCACCUCAAAAGCUAAACCUUGGCAGUGAAGGAGGUCACCAGAGUCCCUGCCAAGCUCGGCGCAGUCCAACGAACCAGCGAUAACAACACUCCACGGAUCUAGACCUAGAAACCCAUAAUAAGCAUCAAUUCUGCCCAAAACAACAAUAGCAGAGUGGAAUAGGGUUUCGACCAAACUAACCUUCACCAAAAUUGACAAUCUUGGGCUUCGUGGAUUUCUCUUGAAGUCCUGAAUCCAAUGAAUGAAGUCUCGCUGCAAUCCGACGCUCCUACGUCGCAUAGGAGUCGAAAUGCCAACGGUCGAUGCAGAAAAUCUGCGAAACAGCAUCCUUGAGCUCGGAAGUGAUAAAGACUUGCCAUGGUUGGAGAAAUUGAUGAACAUCUCACCUCAACAGCGAUUCUAGCACCGGCGCGAUGUCAAGAACGGCGAAAACGCACCCUCGCCUGGCCUCCUCGCGAUGCAACGGCAACAAACGCGCGCUCGAACGGCUCCGCGGCGCGACGUCGGCGACGGAACAACUCAACCCGAGCUCCUCCACUACGCUCGGUCACGCACAAGGAAAGGAGAGAGAGCAUGCUGAAGUCCUCUCCUCUCUGCUCUCUCUCUCUAUCCUAUAUAGGAGGGAGAAGGAGUGGGUGAAAACAACGAGGGAAGGAAAGACCAAAAAUCCCCUCACCUAACCUGGCGUACCGGUACACGGGCUCGCGUACCGGUACAAGAAGCCAACUCGAGAGCAGUCUGCGCGCAGCCUGUGCAGUGUACCGAUACACCGUGAUGGCUGUACCGGUACACCGUGAUGGCUGUACCGGUACGGCAAGCAGAAAAAUAGCUAUUUGCAUAUUUUUCUUGCUAAAUACUGCUCUCGCGUUGCACAGAGUCCGUUUUGCGUCUAUUUCGCGCCAACGCGACUCAGACUUGUCCCGACACUCUCCAGAGCUGUCGACAAGCCUUCACUGCUGAACACCAGGUAUCUCACAAUAAGUAAAAUUUCUUCUUAAAAUUUUAGUUUAUUUGCAAACAAGUAUGUGAACUUUAAUUUUAACAAUUAAACAUCUAAAAGCGACCAUCCCUAGAGCAAGUGGCAAAGGGCUUGGUGGUUGUUGCCUGAGACCCAAGUUUGAAUCCUAGUUUUUGUUUUUAGUUUUUUGUUUUUUGUUUUUUUUUGUUUUUUUUUUUUUUUGAGAGAGAGAUAGGUAGCACGCUACCUGCUUCGUUUAUUUCAUUUAGAAAUAAACUUAGCUAGAAAUAUGAAUCAACUAGCUAGGAUUCGAACUUGGGUCUCGAGUACCAACCACCAAGCCCUUUGCCACUUGCUCUAGGGAGUUGAUUCACAUUUCUAGCUAAGUUUAUUUCUAAGCGAAAUAAACGAAGUGGGUAGCGUGCUACCUAUCUCUCAAAAAAAAAAAAAAAACAACUAAACAUCUAAACUUUAUCAAAUAGUUCAAUAAACUCUUUAUUAUUUGUUGUAUGUAUUGCGUAUGGUACCGCUUCUAAAUACAAACAUUUAAUUUUUGUAUUCAACGGUAGAAAAAAAGCGAUAAAAAUUGACUUCCGAUUCAACCUAUUAUUCGAUCAUCAUACUUAAUUUUUUUUUAAAAAAAAUAGACGAGAAAUAAAUAAAUUUCUUUAUAUUUGAAGCUUUGCAUGAUUAUAUUUAUAUGCAUGAUAAUUGAUGCUUCAAGUAUUUGAUAAAUUUUAAAAAAAAUUAUUUACUAAAUUUGAAAGCUCAGAGUCUCAGACAUCUUGUAAAAAAUAAAAUAAAAUAAAGUUUGGGGGCUCUCUACACAUUUUUGCCGAGAUCUUAUUGAUGGUAUUGCCAAGAUAAUCGGUCAAUAUUCAAAAAUUAAAAUUAAUUUAAUAAAAUAUGAUUUAUAAUAUUUAAACGGCUAUGUAUAAAUUUUUGGAAAAACUUCAAAAACCCCCCCUGUAGUUUCGUAGUUUCUCACUUUGCCCUCAUGUGGUUUAAAAUGUAUCAAAUUGCCUCCCUGUGGUUUCGUUUUUAUCUUUUCGGUAACUUUUUCGUUAAUAUUUCAUUAAAUUAUAUACAAAAAACUUUAGAUACCCAUCUAGAUUUAUCAAAUAUUCAAUUUAGUACCCUUUAAUUUUAACUUUAUCACUGAUUUAAGAAAAAAAAAUAAUGAAAUUGAUAAGAAAAAGAGAAAAAAGAAACCACAGGAAGGCAAAUUGAUACAUUUUAAACCACAGGGGAGCAAAGUGAGAAACUACAAAACCACCGGAGAGAUUUUUGAAGUUUUCCCUAAAUUUUUGUAAGUUAGGAAAACCUUCUUGCUCAGAUGCCGAGCAGUCUCAAAAAUUAAUAUAUGCCAAUAUAUAUAAUACAACUUGAUUCACGUAGUUUGUGACGUAGGUAGACCAUUUAUAGGUCAUAAAACUAGGCUAAAUAUAUAUAUUUUUUUUUUUGAGAGAAAGGUAGUAUGUUACCCGCUUCGUUUAUUUCAUUUUAGAAAUAAACUUAGCUAGAAAUGUGAAUCAACUAAGAUUCGAACUUAGGUCUCAAAUACCAACCGCCAAGCCCUUUGCCACUUACUCUAGGGACGGCCGGUUAGGCUAAAUAAUUAAUAACCAGAUUUAGAUUUUAGCACCUUCACAAUUGAGUUUUGGAAGAUUCUACAUUGCACUCGAGUCAUAUGUUUCGUUUUGGAGUGGCCGGAUUUGAUGGACCUACAACGUAUUGGAUGGAUCGAGUUAAUAUUGUUGCAUGCUAUAUUAAGUCAAUUAUAGAAAAAAUGAUGGAAAUAGAGAUGAAAAGUCAAAUACACGAUCCCACUGCAGUGCCUGGUAAUUAUUUUCACAAUGGAAAAAGGGAUUUAAGAUAUAUAAUACUAUAUAAUAUUUAAAUAGUAUAUAGUAUAUAUAUAAUAUAUAUAAGAGAGAGAGAGAGAGAGGAGGGCAGAGGGGAGAGAGAGAGAGGAGGGAGAGAGGGGAAGAGAGCGCGCGCGCAGAGCAUGGAGGUUCAUGAAGCUGAGUUAGAGUAAUACUACCUCAGCUAGCACGAAGUUUUAUAUUACCAAGUUAUUUUCAAUUGAUGUGAGGCUUUCAAAUCGACGAUACAGUAUCCUUAGAUGGUUAGAUCUGCACUAUUAAAAGUUUUUGGAAACUAAAUUGCAUAUUUUUCGAAUCAUUUGGCUAGUGAUAAAAAAGGUCUCAAUAAUUGACAAUUUUAAUGAUAUAAUUUGAUGCGUUUGUGAAUUUUACAGUGUAAACAAAUCCAAAAUUUGAUGAAAUUUUUUUAGAAAAUUCUUUUAUAUUAGAGUAAGAGUCAGUAUCUCUGAUGUCUUAAUUCAAGUCUUUUAUCAUCAUUUUUUAUGAAAUUUUUAUUUUUAACUGUUCAUUUUUAGACUACUCGUUUGAUAGAUAAAUGAUGCCGAAAAAUUAUGAAAUUUAGUUUUCAAAUAUUUUGAAUAGUGUAGAUCAAUUCUAACGAAGCCGAUCGUAGAUUUGGAUGCCGUAUCAUCGAAAACAACUUAGUAGCACGAAGGCUUCCAUGCUACUAAUAGUAUACCAGCCUAGCUCUAUAUAUAUAUAUAUAUAUAUAUAUAUAUAUAUAGAGAGAGAGAGAGAGAGAGAGAGAGAGAGAGCUAGUCUCCUAUACUAUCUAUAGUAGCAGGACUCCGGUACUACAGUUUGGUUUUCGAUCUUAGGGUGUUCAAAUCAACGAUCCACACCGUUAAAACUGAUCUAGGGUAUUUAAAGUUUUUAGAAAUAAAAUUUUAUACUUUUUCGACAUAGUUUACUUUAUGAUCAAACCAUUUUAAAAUUGUCAAUUUUCAAUGGUUACUAUGGCGAGUUUGGAGUUUAACGGUGUAGAAGAAUUUAAUUUUUUUCAAAUUUUGAUAGAAAAUACUUUAAACUAUCUAGAUUAAGGUUAACAUUCUUGAUGUUGAAUUUAAAAGUCCUAUGCUCAAAUUUUAAAGAUUAUUCAAUUUCUACCGUCCAUUUUAACAUAAUUUUUUUACUAAGUAAACAAUGUCGAAAAAAAUAAAAAUUUUAUUCCUAAGAACUUCAUAUACUCUAGAUCAUAUUUAACAGUGUGGAUCGUUAAAUUUGAACACCCUAAAAUCGAAACCAAGACUAUAGUAUCGGAUCUCCGGUACUAUAGAUAGUAUAGUAGCGUAAUUCUAUAUAUAUAUAUAUAUAUAUAUAUAUANNNNNNNNNNNNNNNNNNNNNNNNNNNNNNNNNNNNNNNNNNNNNNNNNNNNNNNNNNNNNNNNNNNNNNNNNNNNNNNNNNNNNNNNNNNNNNNNNNNNNNNNNNNNNNNNNNNNNNNNNNNNNNNNNNNNNNNNNNNNNNNNNNNNNNNNNNNNNNNNNNNNNNNNNNNNNNNNNNNNNNNNNNNNNNNNNNNNNNNNNNNNNNNNNNNNNNNNNNNNNNNNNNNNNNNNNNNNNNNNNNNNNNNNNNNNNNNNNNNNNNNNNNNNNNNNNNNNNNNNNNNNNNNNNNNNNNNNNNNNNNNNNNNNNNNNNNNNNNNNNNNNNNNNNNNNNNNNNNNNNNNNNNNNNNNNNNNNNNNNNNNNNNNNNNNNNNNNNNNNNNNNNNNNNNNNNNNNNNNNNNNNNNNNNNNNNNNNNNNNNNNNNNNNNNNNNNNNNNNNNNNNNNNNNNNNNNNNNNNNNNNNNNNNNNNNNNNNNNNNNNNNNNNNNNNNNNNNNNNNNNNNNNNNNNNNNNNNNNNNNNNNNNNNNNNNNNNNNNNNNNNNNNNNNNNNNNNNNNNNNNNNNNNNNNNNNNNNNNNNNNNNNNNNNNNNNNNNNNNNNNNNNNNNNNNNNNNNNNNNNNNNNNNNNNNNNNNNNNNNNNNNNNNNNNNNNNNNNNNNNNNNNNNNNNNNNNNNNNNNNNNNNNNNNNNNNNNNNNNNNNNNNNNNNNNNNNNNNNNNNNNNNNNNNNNNNNNNNNNNNNNNNNNNNNNNNNNNNNNNNNNNNNNNNNNNNNNNNNNNNNNNNNNNNNNNNNNNNNNNNNNNNNNNNNNNNNNNNNNNNNNNNNNNNNNNNNNNNNNNNNNNNNNNNNNNNNNNNNNNNNNNNNNNNNNNNNNNNNNNNNNNNNNNNNNNNNNNNNNNNNNNNNNNNNNNNNNNNNNNNNNNNNNNNNNNNNNNNNNNNNNNNNNNNNNNNNNNNNNNNNNNNNNNNNNNNNNNNNNNNNNNNNNNNNNNNNNNNNNNNNNNNNNNNNNNNNNNNNNNNNNNNNNNNNNNNNNNNNNNNNNNNNNNNNNNNNNNNNNNNNNNNNNNNNNNNNNNNNNNNNNNNNNNNNNNNNNNNNNNNNNNNNNNNNNNNNNNNNNNNNNNNNNNNNNNNNNNNNNNNNNNNNNNNNNNNNNNNNNNNNNNNNNNNNNNNNNNNNNNNNNNNNNNNNNNNNNNNNNNNNNNNNNNNNNNNNNNNNNNNNNNNNNNNNNNNNNNNNNNNNNNNNNNNNNNNNNNNNNNNNNNNNNNNNNNNNNNNNNNNNNNNNNNNNNNNNNNNNNNNNNNNNNNNNNNNNNNNNNNNNNNNNNNNNNNNNNNNNNNNNNNNNNNNNNNNNNNNNNNNNNNNNNNNNNNNNNNNNNNNNNNNNNNNNNNNNNNNNNNNNNNNNNNNNNNNNNNNAAGAGAGAUCUAUCGGAAAUUUUAGUGCUAUAUCACCACUUUUUAUAGAAUUUUAUUUUCAGCCGUUAAAAUUAUGAUUUGAAUCCUUUUGAUUGCUACGUAAAUAAUACGAAAAAUCGCAAAAAUUAUUUUCUAGAAAUUUCAAAUACUGUUAGAUCAAGUUUACGAAGCCGAUCGUCGAUCGGAAAACUCCAUAGCAUCGAAAACGGUCAGGAGCACGGAUGGCCUCCGUGCUCUAAAGCACAGCACCCUGUCUAUAUAUAUAUAUUAUAUAAUAAUAUAUAUAUAUAUAUAUAUAAUAUAUAAUAUAUUAUAAAUAUAUAUAUAGUAUAUAUAUAGGCGGCCAGGCAUGCUUAUGGAAACUACAGAGGGCUCCGUGCUUCCACUUUGUUUUCGAUGUUCGGUACUUUCGAAUCGACGAUCGGCUCCGUUAGACUUGAUCUAGAGUAUUUGAAGUAUCUAGAAAAUAAAUUUAGCAAUUUUUUUAUAUCAUUUGCCUAGUGAUCGAAGUGGCUCAAAAUCAACGGCUGAAAAUAAAAAUCUUACAAAAUAUGAUGAUAUGACAUUAAAAUUUUAGAUCAAAGUUGUUGAUCUUGUUUUAUAUGGUAUAAAGAAUUUUUUAUCAAAAUUUCAUGUGAUUUGGAUAUUUCUGUACCGUUAAACUUGCAACCGGCUCACCACGGCCAUUAAAAUUAUUGAUUUUGAACCCCUUCGAUCACUAGGAAAAUGAUAUCGAAAAAUCACAAAAUUUAUUUUCUAGGUACUUCAAAUACUCUAGAUCAACUCUAACGGAGCCGAUCGUUGAUUUGAAAGUCCGAACAUCGAAAACAACGUGGAAGCACGGAGGGCUCCGUGCUUCCAUAAGCAUACUAGCCCACUCUCUCUCUCUCUCUCUCUAUAUAUAUAUAUAGAAUUAUGCUACUAUCCUAUCAAUAGUAUCAAGCCCUUGAUACUAUUAAGUUUUCGGCUGUUGGAUGAAAGAAUGUGCGGUUAAGAUGAUAGUGGUCCCCGGUUAAAUUAAUAGUGGUCUCCUAGGGUUGAGUGGGUGGUUAAUAAUAUAAUCUAACGGGUGAAAAUGAUCAAAGGAUAAAUCUAACGAUAAAAAACUCAAUAGUCCCGAGGGCUUGGUACUAUCGAUAGUAUAGUAGCCGGACUAUAUAUAUAUAUAUAUAUAUAUAUAUAUAUAUAUAUAGUAGAGCUAGAAUACUUGUAAAAGUAUCACCCAAGUGAUACUUGCGUGUUUUUAGCCCUUGGAUGGAGAGAUGUGAGGUUGAGAUGAUGGUGGUAGGUGGUGGUAGGUGGAAUAGUGUUUGAUCUAAAGGCUAUUAGUAAUCAAAAAGUAGAUCCAAUGGUUAAAAACACACAAGUAUCACUUGGGUGAUACUUGUCUUGUCGUUCGUGCUAUUAAUAGCUAGUAUCGGACUCUAUAGAAUCUAUAUAUAAUGGAUAUAAGAGACGAGAGAGAGCCAGCUAUGUGCUUGUAAAAGCACCACAACGCACUGUGAUCUUGUAAGUUUUACCGUUAAGACUUUACUCGGAUACUUUCCAGACCAUCUAUAAUUUAUAACAUUCAACCCACAGGACCCACACCACUCGCUCCCACCACUCACCCUAAGGGCGUCGCACAUCAUCCUAGAUCCGCGAUAUCUUUUUAAUACCAAUGGCUAAAAAUCUUACAACAGCACCAAUGAUUGGUACUUUUAAAAGCAUAAAGCUCAAGUAUAUAUAAAUACAUAUAUAUAAUAUAUAUAUAUAUAUAUAAGAGNNNNNNNNNNNNNNNNNNNNNNNNNAAAAUAUUCUAGGCCUAUCUAUAUAUAUAGAGUCCGCUACUAUCGCUAUCGGUAGACAGGAGCGCUCCGUGCUACCAAUUGUUUUCGAUGAUCCGGCUUCCAAUCGAUUGAUCGGUCUCCGCUAGACUUGAUCUACACUAUUAAGCGUAUUUUGGAAAACUAAAUUUCAAAUUUUUCGGCAACAUUUGACUGUGAUCAAAGAUCUCAAAAUGACAUUUUAAAUGGCCGAUGUGUGUUUUGUGAGUUUAACGGUUAAAAAUAAUCUAAAUCGAUGAAAAUUUUAUAGAAAAUUCUUUUCACUAUUUAGAGUAAGAUCAGUAUAUCUGAUCUGAAUUUAAAUUUUUAUCUAUUUUCAUGAGAUUUUUAAUUUCAGCCAUUCAAUUUUAAACUACUUGUUUGAUGGGUAUAUAAUUGAUAUCGAAAAAUUAUGAUUUAUUUUCUAAAUACUUUCAAUAGUGUAGAUCAAGUCUAACGAACGAUCAUCGAGUUGAAAGUCGCAUCAUCGAAAACAACUUGUAGCACGGACGCUAUCGUGCUACGAUAGUUAGUAGCCUGUUCAUAAUAGAGCAGACUGCUGUGCUCUCAGCGAGCACGGAGGCCUCGUGCCUGAGCCGUUUCGAUGAUAGGAGGUUUCGAAUCGACGAUCGGCUCCGUUAAACUUGAUCUAGGUCAUUUGAAGUUUCUAGAAAUAAUUUUUUCGAUUUCUUUCGAUAUCAUUUACCUAACAUCGAAAGGAUUCAAAUCAAUUAUUUUUAAACCGGCUGAAUAAAAAUCCUAUAAAAAGUGGUGAUAUAGCACUAAAUUUUCGAUCAGAAAUAUUGAUCCUUGUUGUAGAUAGUAUAAAGAAUUUUGUAUCAAAGUUUUAUCUGAUUGAAUACUUCUACCCGUUAAACUUGAAACGGCAGCAUAUCAAGCAUUUAAAAAUAUGGAUUUUGAAUCUUUCGAUCACUUAGGUAAAUGAUAUCAAAAAAUCGCAAAAAUUAUUCUUUAGAAACUUCAAUGCGCUAGAUCAAGUCUUAAUGGAGCGAUCGUCGAUUCGAAAUUCCAUCAUCGAAAACGACUCAAGAGCACGAGGCCUCCGUGGCUCCUAGACACAGCAGCCCUGCUCUCUGCUCUCUCUCUCUUCUCACUCUCAUCUCUCAUCUUCCUCUAUAUAUAUAUAUAUAAUAUAUAUAUAUAUAAAUAUAUAAUAGAACUAAGGACUAUGCUGAUUAUAGCACCAAGUCAUUGGUGCUAUCAAAGUUUUUGGCCAUUGAUUAAAGAGAUGUUGUGGUUAGGAUGAUGGCGGGCUCCCUAGGGUUGUGUGGAGUUGGUUGAUAGUAUGAUCUAAACGAUGUGAAAAUGAUCAAAAGGAUAGAUUUUAACGGCAGAAAAUUUGGUAGCACAAUUCUUCGGGCUAUUAAAUAGCAUAGUAGUCGGACUCUAUAGAACUAUAUAUAUUAUAGAGAGAGAGAGAGAGCCAGCUAUGGUGCUUGUAAAGCACAAGCACUUGAUGCUUGUAAGUUUUUACCGUUAGAUUUACUGGAUCAUUUCAACCAUUAAAUAUACUAUUCAACCAACCACCCACUCAACCCUAAGGGUCCACAUCAUCCUAAUCGCAUAUCUUUUAAUCCAAUGGCUAAAAUUACAAGCACCAAUGAUUUGGUACUUUUAAAAGCAUAAAGCUCAAGUAUAUAUAUACAUAAUAUAUAUAUAUUAUAUAUAUAUAGAGAGAGAGAGAGAGAGAGAGGAGAGAGGAGAGGAGAAGAGAGAGAGGAGAGAAGAGAAGAGAGAGAGACAGGGCUGCUGUGCUCAGGAGCACGGAGGCCUCCGUGCCUCCUAAAGCCAUAUUUCGAUGAUAGAAUUUUCGAAUCGACGAUCGGCUCCGUUAGACUUGAUCUAACGCAUUUGAAGUUUUAGAAAUAAUUUUUGCGCUUUCGAUAUCAUUUGCCUAGUGAUCGAAAAGAUUCAAAUUCAUAAUUUUUAAUGUUGAUAUCUGCCGUUUUCAAGUUUAACGGUAUAGAAGUAUUCAAAUCAGAUGAAAUUUUGAUACAAAAUUUUUAUAUAUACAAUAAGAUCAAUAUUUCUGAUCGAAAAUUUUAGUGGUAUAUCGCCACUUUUUAUAAGAUUUUAUUUUCAGCCAUUAAAAAUUAUUGAUUUUGAAUCCUUUCGAUUGCUAAGUAAUAAUAUCGAAAAAUCGCAAAAAAUUAUUUUUUAGAAACUUCAAAUCACUAGAUUAAGUUUAACGGAGCGAUCGUCGAUUCGGAAAUUCCAUCAUCGAAAACGGACUUUGCCGGAGGCGCUCCGUGCUCCUGAAGAGCAAGAGAGCUAGAAACUAUUAAUAGCAUUUACCCCUUUUGCUAUCAAGUUUUUAGUUUUGGGAUCAAUUCAUUUUGAUCAUUCUAAUUAUUGAUUAAAUAUUAUAAUCCAGUGGGACAAUCUCAACCAUAGGAGGAACACUUAAUCCUAAAGGACUAAUUAUCAUCUAACUCUACAAUUUCUCAUCAAUGUUAAAAACUUGAUAGCAAAGAGGCAAAAUACUAUCAAUGUAUUCCAGCUCAACUCUCUCUCUCUCUCUCUCUCUCUCUUCUCUCUCUCUCGUAUAUAUAUAUAUAUAUAUAAUAUAUAUAUAUAUAUUAUAUAUAUAUUAUAUAUAUAAUAUAUAUAUUAACUAGGCUACAUACUAUCAAUAGCAUAAAGCUAUGUUGCAAUUAGUUUUUUAGCCCUUGAAUUGAGAAUGUGGCGGUUAGAAUGAUGUGGGCUCUAGGGUUGAGUGCGUGUGUUUGUUGAAUAGUAUAAUUAAGCGCUAAAAUAAUUGAAAGUGUUAAAUCUAACGGUGGAAAACUCGAGUAGCCCAAGCCCUUGGUGCUUAUCGAUAGUAUCCGCAGCCGGCUAUAUAUAAGUCGCGUCUGGGAUACUAUCGAUAGCACAAGGCUCUGUGCUAAUCCAGUUUUCCACCGUUAGAUUUAAUCCUUUGAUAUUUUUACCCGUUGAUUAUACUAUUCAACCAACCACCCACUCAACCCUAGGGGGCCUACAUCAUCCUAACGCACAUUUUUCAAUCCAAGGGCUAAGUUAUGGUGCUAUUAGUUUUCGGCCUCUGGACGAAGAAAUAUACGGUUAGGAUGAUGUGGGUCUCCUAGCAGGUGAGUGUGAGUUGUUGGUUGAGUAGUAUAAUCUAACGGGUGAAAAUAUCAAUGAGCUAAAUCUAUGGUGAAAAAUUUGAUAGCACCAAACGCUUGGUGCUAUCAAUAGUUAUCCCAGCCGGACUCUCUCUCUCUUCUCUCUUCUCUAUAUAUUUAUAAUAUAUAUAUAUAUAUAGAGAGAGAGAGAGAGAGAGAGAGAGAAGUUGAGCUAGAAUACUCUCAAAAGAACCAAGGUGUGGUGUUGGAAAGUUUUUAACCAUUGGAUGGAGAGAUGUAUGUUGAGAUGAUGGUGGUAGUGGUGGUAGGUGGAAUAGUGUUUGAUCCAAGGGGUAUUAGUAAUUAAGGAUUAGAUCCAAGGGUUAGAAAUUUAGAAGCACCAAAGGGUUGUGCUUCUAAAAGUAUUCUAGCUCAAUUCUCUCUCUUCUCUUCUCUCUCUCUCGGCUCUCGAGAGAGAGAGAGAGAGAAAGAGAGAGAGAGAGCAGGGCUGCUGUGCUCUCAGGAGCACGGAGGCCUCCGUGCUCCUAAGCCAUAUUCGAUGAUAGAAUUUUCGAAUCGACGAUCGGCUCCGUUAGACUUGAUCUAACGCAUUUGAAGUUUCUAGAAAAUAAUUUUUGCGCUUUCGAUAUCAUUUGCCUAGUGAUCGAAAAGAUUCAAAAUUCAUAAUUUUUAAUGGUUGAUAUCUGCCGUUUUCAAGUUUAACGGUAUAGAAGUAUUCAAAUCAGAUGAAAUUUUGAUACAAAAUUUUUUAUACUAUCUACAAUAAGAUCAAUAUUUCUGAUCGAAAAUUUUAGUGCUAUAUCGCCACUUUUUAUAAGAUUUUUAUUUUCAGCCAUUAAAAAUUAUUGAUUUUGAAUCCUUUCGAUUGCUAAGUAAAUAAUAUCGAAAAAUCGCAAAAAUUAUUUUUUAGAAACUUCAAAUACACUAGAUUAAGUUUAACGGAGCCGAUCGUCGAUUCGGAAAUUCCAUCAUCGAAAACGGCUUUGGCACGGAGGCCUCCGUGCUCCUGAGAGCACAGCAGGCUAGAAUACUAUUAAUAGCAUUUACCCCCUUUUGCUAUCAAGUUUUUAGUUUUUGGAUCAAUUCUUUUGAUCACUUCUAAUUAUUGGAUUAAAUAUUAUAAUCCAGUGGGGACAACUCAACCAUAGGAGGACCACUUAAUCCUAAAGGACUAAUAUCAUCCUAACUCUACAAUUUCUCAUCCAAUGGUUAAAAACUUGAUAGCAAAAGAGGCAAAAUACUAUCAAUAGUAUUCCAGCUCAACUCUCUCUCUCUCUCUCUCUCUCUCUCUCUCUCUCUCUAUAUAUAUAUAUAUAUAUAUAUAUNNNNNNNNNNNNNNNNNNNNNNNNNCUCGAUUCUAUAUAUAUAUAUAUAUAUAUAUAUAUAUAUAUAGAGAGAGAGAGAGAGAGAGAGAGAGAGAGAGAGUUGAGCUGGAAUACUAUUGAUAGUAUUUUGCAGAUUUUCUUUGCUGAAAGCUACCCUCGCGUUGCAUGGAGCCCGUUUUGCGUCUAGUUGACGCCAAGGCGACUCGGACUUGUCCCGACACUCUCCAGAGCUACUGACAAGCCAUCACAACAGAACACCAGAGAUCUCACAUCCUCUCCCUCCACAAAAAGUUUCGUCCGCGAAACUGAAACGUACCUCAGCUCAGGCAUCAAACAAAUAGGGAUAGGCCUCCCUCAUCACCGUGUCAGGCUCCCAAGUCGCCUCCCGCUCAUCAUGAUUGCUCCACUGAACCUUCACAUACGGGAUGACCCGGUUGCGCAAUUCUUUCAUCUCUCGAGCAAGAAUCUGCAACGGUCGCUCCUCGUAUCUCAUAUCCUCACCAAUCUCUAGUGGAGUGAAGUCAAUCACGUGAGAGGGAUCGAAAAUAUAUCUCCUCAAUGCUGAGACGUGGAAAACAUCGUGGAUGCUAGCAAGUCGCGGGGGUAAAGCGAUCCUGUAUGCAACGGGUUCGAUACGCUCCAAUACCUCGAAAGGGCCAACAAACCGUGGACUAAGCUUUCCACGUACUCCAAAUCGGCAUAUCCCUCUGGACGGCGAGACUUCAAGGAAUACAUGAUCUCCAACCUGGAACUCCAAGUCUCGUCUCCUGAAAUCGGCGUAGCUCCUCUGCCGGCUCUGUGCUGCCAAAAGGUGUCGUCGAACGAUUCUCACCUUUUCCUCAGCCUCAAGUAGAAUCUCCGGUCCAAGUGUCCUCCGCUCACCCACAUCGCUCCAAAACAGGGGGGAUCGACAUCUGCGUCCAUACAACGCCUCAAACGGAGCCAUUUGAAUGCUCGUUUGAUAGCUGUUGUUGUACGCAAACUCAACCAGUCUCACAUGUCGAUACCACCCUCCUCCAAAAUCCAGGACGCAUGCCCUAAGCAUGUCCUCUAAAGUCCGUAUGGUCCGUUCUUACUGACCAUCUGUCUGUAGGUGGAACGCCAUGCUAAAAUGUAGCUGAGUGCCCAAGGCGGUCUGAAGACUCCUCCAAAACUGGGAUACAAAUCUCGGGUCUCUGUCUGAUACAAUCGACACUGGCACGCGGUGCAGCCUAACAAUCUCAUCCAAGUAUAGCUGUGCGAGUCUCUCUCUGGAUCAGGUAGUCUGAACCGGUAGGAAGUGAGCAGACUUGGUCAGUCUGUCACUAUCACCCAGAUCGCGUUGUAGCCACCCUGCGCUCUAGGCAAUCCAACGACGAAGUCCAUAGUGAUGUCCUCCCACUUCCACUCGGGCACUGGCAGACUCUGAAGCUUGCCUGCAGGCACCUGAUGCUCGGCCUUUACCUGUUGGCAAGUCAAACAUUGAGCCACAUAUCUGCCAAUGCCUCUCUUCACUCCAUUCCACCAAACUGUGCCUUUAAGUCCCUAUACAUCUUGGUCCCACCUGGGUGAACCGUAUGAGGAGAACAAUGAGCCUCUCUCAGAAUGUCUGCUCGGAUCUCAGAAUCCACAGGCACACACAAUCGGUCCCUCUACCGUAGUACUCCCGAACUGUCCAAAGCAAAACCCUCAGCCUGCCCCCUGUCUAGCUGCUCUCUAAUCCUCAACAAGUACGGAUCUCCACUCUGUUUCUCUCGGAUCCUAUCCAACAGAGUGGGCUGCAAAACUAGAGAUGUCAGCCUCGCUGUAGACCCGGGGGUACAAUCUCGAGUCCCAACCGCUGUAGCUCCUCGAGUAGGGGUCUCUGCUCAGUGAUCGUCAAACUCAGGCUCUGCACUGCUUUCCUGCUCAACGCAUCUGCCACUACAUUCGCCCGGCCGGGAUGAUACUAGAUACUAAUGUCGUAGUCCUUCAGUAAUUCUAACCACCGGCGCUGCCUCAGGUUCAGCUUCCUCUGUGUGAACAGAUACUUGAGACUUUUAUGAUCAGUAAAAAUCUCGCAGUGCUCGCCGUACAAGUAAUGCCGCCAGAGCUUCAAAGCAAAAACCACCGCGGCAAGCUCCAAGUCAUGUGUAGGGUAAUUCUUCUCAUAAUCCUUUAACUGCCGUGAAGCAUAAGCAAUCACCCUACCAUGCUGCAUCAGCACGCAACCAAGUCCACUGUGCGAUGCAUCACUAUAGAUCACAAAUCCAUCCUCCAUCACCAGAAGGGCAAGGAUAGGAGCCGACGUCAACCUCAGUCUUAACUCGUCAAAGCUCCUCUGACAGUCGUCGCUCCAGAUAAAACGAAUCCCCUUCCGCGUCAAGCAUGUGAGGGGUGUGGAAAGCUUCGCAAAGCCUUCCACAAACCGACGGUAAUAUCCUGCCAGUCCCAGGAAGCUCCGUACCUCAGUCACCGUCGUCGGUCUAGGCCAAUCUCGAAUCGCCUCAAUCUUCUUCGGGUCCACAGCUACUCCCUCAGCUGAAAUCACGUGGCCCAAGAAAGCAACCUCCCGUAGCCAGAACUCGCACUUCUUUAACUUGGCAUACGGCUUCUUCUCUCUCAGAAGCUAUAGCAUAAUCCUCAAGUGCUCCUCAUGCUCCGGAUCACUCCGGGAGUAAAUUAGAAUAUCGUCGAUGAAGACUACCACAAACCUAUCCAAAAACGGCUUGAACACUCUGUUCAUCAAAUCCAUGAAUGCGGCAGGGGCAUUCGUCAAUCCAAAAGGCAUCACCGUGAACUCAUAAUGCCCGUACCGAGUCCGAAAAGCCGUCUUGGGAACAUCCUCGGCCCUCACCCUCAGCUGGUGGUAACCUGACUGGAGAUCAAUCUUCGAAAAGACACAAGAUCCUUGCAGCUGAUCGAAUAGAUCAUCAAUGCGCGGCAGAGGAUACUUGUUCUUGAUGGUCACUUUAUUCAGCUCCCGGUAAUCCACACAUAACCUGAGCGAACCAUCCUUCUUCUUUACAAAUAACACCGGCGCUCCCCAAGGCGACACACUGGGUCUCACAAACCCUCUAUCCAUCAGAUCCUGAAGUUGCGCCUUUAGCUCUCUCAGCUCUGCCGGUGCCAUCCUGUAAGGUACCUUUGAGAUUGGUGCAGUUCCAGGAACUACAUCAAUCACAAACUCAAUCUCCCUCUCCGGCGGCAACGUCGUCAACUCAGGGGGAAACACAUCCGAAAACUCGCGGACUACUGGGAUGUCCUCGAGUCUCGGCGCCGCCGUAGGUACCUCCACAACUGUCGCUAGGAAAGCGAUACACCCGCUAUUCAGCAUCUGUCGAGCCCUCGCCGAAGAUAUCCAGGUGGCAAACAACGUGCUCCUGCAGCUUCUAAAAGUAAACUCCUCCUGGCCUGGCUCGCGGAACGUCACUGUCCUCGCUCCACAGUCGAUCGUAGCAUAGUACCGCGCCAGCCAAUCCAUACCAAGCACAACGUCGAAGUCCUGCAGCUGCCCUAACACCAACAGGUCUGCGGGCAUAAUCUACGAGUCUAGCUACAGCGGGCAUGACCAACAACACUCCACAACCUGCAAAACAUGGUCUGGGAUCUGCACCUCUCGUGUCUGAGACAACGCUCCUAACUCUAGACCAUGUAACUGUGCAAAUGCUCGGCUAACAAAAGAAUGCGAUGCACCGGUAUCAAAAAGAGUGCGAACUCUAAUGCCAGAAAUCAAGGUGAUACCUGCCACCACUCGGUCGGCUGCCAUAGAGUCCUCCACCUGGGCUGCGUAGACCCUGCCACUCGGAGCCUGUUGUCGCCGCUCACUCGACCGCGGCACAGACGAUCUGUCCUCCUGGCGGUAACUCGGUGCUGCUCCGUAAGACUGCUGUGGUGCUGGUGGUGCUGAAGCUGAUGAUGGUGCUGGAGAUGCUGCUCGGGGACAAGCUGCCCUCAUGUGUCCCGGCUGACCACAUGCGUAGCAUCUGCCCUCUCUCUGCUCGCACUGCUGGGGCCAGUGUGGUCCCCCGCAGAUCACACACUGUGGCGUCCUCUGAGUCUGCCCCUGCUGACGGGAUGCCUUGGAAUGCUAAGGCCCCGAAGACCCAUGACCCUGAAAACGUGAUCGUGAAGGCCUCGGCGGACGUCUGCUGCUCGAUUGUCCUCCGUCAUCCGGAAAGGGGCGCAUCCUGUCCUGACUCUGCCCCACGGCCUGAGUCCUCUCCUGCAGCGAUGCCUCACCUCGCUCCACCCACAAGGCCUGCUCUAUAGACGCAUCCAGAGUCCUCGACCUCUGCGUCCGAGUCAACCUGAAAAUAUCCGGUCUCAGCCCCUGCUCGAACAUGUAAACCCUGUGGGCCUCAUCUCUGGCCACAAAUGGCACGCAGUUCAGGAGUCGAGUAAACUCCCGAACGUACUCCUGCACUGGUCGAUCCCCCUGCUGAAGCCUCCUCAAAUCCUCCUCGAGCUUCUGCUUCACAUUGUUAGGAAAGAACAUCCCAAACAGCAUUCCACAGAACUCAUCCCAACUCAGCUGCAAUGCUACCAGUCCUUGCUCUCUCCGCACUCUCCUCCACCAGGCGUGGGCGUCACCUGCCAAAUAAUGGACUCCCAAAGACACCUGCUCCCCCUCAGGGAUGAAAAGAUCCUCGAAUAGCUUCUCCAUCGCACUGACCCAGCCCUCAACAACCCAAGCUUCAGUGCAACUGCCAUCAAAGAUCGGCGGAUCGAAACGGCAGAAACGGGCCAACCUCUCUGUCCACCGCUCCUGCUCGGCCUCUGUCAACUGAACCGGUCCCCUAGCUAGCGCAACUGGCGCGGCCGGAAACUCCGCUGAUGGGGGUACAGCUACGGCUGGUGCGACCACUGGAGUAGUCGGAGGCGAUGCUACAACGGCAACCGUACCCUCGAACGGCUCCUCGUGAUGCUACGACGGCAACCGUACCCUCGAACGGCUCCGCGGCGCGACGUCGGCGAAAAUCGAACUCCACCCAAGCUCCACCACCGCACUCGGUCACACACAAGGAGAAGAGAGAGAGA
rnacentral:lncRNA from 1 species